rnacentral:rRNA from 1 species
UACGUAGGGGGCAAGCGUUGUCCGGAAUCAUUGGGCGUAAAGAGCGUGUAGGCGGCUCGAUAAGUCUGCUGUGAAAGUCCAGGGCUCAACCCUGGAAGGCCAGUGGAAACUGUCGGGCUAGAGUCCGGAAGAGGCGAGUGGAAUUCCCGGUGUAGCGGUGAAAUGCGCAGAUAUCGGGAGGAACACCAAUGGCGAAGGCAGCUCGCUGGGACGGUACUGACGCUGAGACGCGAAAGCGUGGGGAGCAAACAGG